UGGGGGCAAUCUUGGAUUGUGGGGGAAACCCUGAUCCAGCAAUGCCGCGUGUGUGAAGAAGCCUUCGGGUUGUAAAGCACUUUCGAUAGGGAAGAAAAGCUGACCGUGAAUAACGGCCAGUCUUGACGUUACCUAGAGAAGAAGCACCGGCUAACUCUGUGCCAGCAGCCGCGGUAAUACAGAGGGUGCAAGCGUUAAUCGGAAUUACUGGGCGUAAAGCGCGCGUAGGCGGUUCGAUAAGUCGGGUGUGAAAGCCCCGGGCUCAACCUGGGAAUUGCAUUCGAUACUGUCGAGCUAGAGUAUGGUAGAGGAAAGCGGAAUUCCACAUGUAGCGGUGAAAUGCGUAGAUAUGUGGAGGAACAUCAGUGGCGAAGGCGGCUUUCUGGACCAAUACUGACGCUGAGGCGCGAAAGCGUGGGGAGCAAACAGGAUUAGAUACCCUGGUAGUCCACGCCGUAAACGAUGAGAACUAGGCGUUGGGAGGCGUGACCUCUUAGUGUCGAAGCUAACGCGAUAAGUUCUCCGCCUGGGGAGUACGGCCGCAAGGUUAAAACUCAAAGGAAUUGAGGGGACC
rnacentral:rRNA from 1 species